UGAAUCACUACAGAAGCCCGGGAAAGGCCUCGUCAUACUUCCUCUCCCAGCUAUCCAGUUCCUGGGCCUGGCUGAGGCAUCGAAGCCAAACACUGGAUCACUGUCAUCUUCAGACAAAAGUCACGGGGUACACACCCAGACCCUCCUGGGGGAAUCCCCACCCAGCCCUUGUGGAGAGAGUGUAAGAUUCCAUGACCCAUGGUUCAGCAGUGAACCCUGACCCAAAAGGGUUUUCUACAGAGUGACCUUUACCUUGCAGCAUGGCAUGAAAAGAUAAGUGAUCAAAUUACUCUCCCAGGAUUUGGAACCCAAAAGCAGAGGCAUGGUAGUCAGUCAUAAGUGGGCCCUGGGCUGGGAGGUGAAACAGUAAAGGUAGAUCCAAUGACUGGGGCUGACCACGUGGGGGGAGGGGUGGGAUUCAGAGGAAGCUGGGUGGGGUGCACAUGUGUGCAUGAGAGAGAGAGAAGCAAAGUUUAGAACUAUGCUGUCAAGUUUGGUAGCUGCAUGGGGCUAUUUAAUUCUAUUCAAAUAAUAAUUUUAUUUGAUUGGUUUAGUUUUUUAAAGUUAAAUUAAUUUAUUUAAAUAACAUUAGAAAUUUAAAAUUUAGUUCCUCAGUUGCACUGCAUAGAUCUAGAACAUUUCCAUCAUUACAGAUAGUUCUAUUUGAUGGCACUGGUCUAAGAGACGCACUAGGAUAGAGAAUACGAAGUCUUAGUUCUCAGUUUGCAUUCCUAAUUCCAAUUCGCAUAUUGGAAUCCUCUUGCCCAUGCUCCAUAAGAUUACUUGUAUCCUUAUAAUUCUCACCUGCCACUCUACCUCUCCCACACUAUCUUUUUCUUGACAUAGAUUUCAGUCCUCGUUUUACUUUUUAUAUUCAAAAGAAUCUUAACUAAUUACAUUGACUGAUAUUAAUAAUAAAAAAGAACCAUUACAAUGUAUUGAGGGCUUAUGUGCAUGAACACUAUGCCUUAGCAUUUUGUAUUCAUGCUUUUAUUUAAUCUUCAUAGGAACCUUACAAUAUAGAUCUUUUAUCUCCAUUUGACAGCUGAAGGAACCAAGGCAUAAAGAGGUUAAGUGAAUUGUCCAAGGUCACAGAGCUGGGAGGUUGAUAAAGUAGGAAUGGAAUUAAUCUUCCAUCUCCAGUGAUUGAUGCACAGGAAGCUGGCCUGACUUCUAACCAUGGAAGCAGACUGUGAAAAGUGGCAGAUAUUCUACCCUGGGACAUGAACAGGAAGUUUGAGAAGUGACAGGGAAUGGGCACAGGCUGACUGUGCUGGGAAGAAAUAGCCCAUCAGGAGCAAAUCGUAUGUCCUGUGAACCCAGGGGUCUGCCAGCAAAAUUCCCUGAUGCUAGAACUCUGGUUAGAGAACCACCCAGAGAAAUGGAAGAAACUACUCACAGCCAAGAAUUAGAGAACCAAAGAUUUGAGCCACCUGUAGCUCUGGUAAUGCCACUUUAGGAAGUUCUGGGUUAACAUCUGUUGAGGCACAUGAGAAUGUGCAUGGUCUCUGUGGCAGACUCUGGGUGACCAGCGACGGACAAACCCCAAGGCACCUCGUAAUACCGUGAGUUACAAGAGCAGCCAGGCUGCUGACACAUGAAGAAUGCAGAGCGCCUGGCAAAUUAAGCGCGGGCAUUUGGAAACCGAAGGCUCAAGAUCUCUUGUCAGGAGCCUCCAAGGCGAAUCCCUCCAGCAACUACUGCCUCUCUGGCGCCACCAUCUGGUGUCCGCUGGGUGGUUUGCUGCCACCAGAACUUGUCAAAACUGGAAAAAAAAUUUUUUUUUCAAUAGAUUUUUACUUUAUUGGGAAAUUGAAGACUUGGAUACAUUAAAUGAAAUCCACUUCUAGGGGAGAAAAAUUUAAAAAUCACAACAGAAAAAAUGCUAACACCCUCCAGGCCAUAGCAGAACCCAGAGAAUACAUUCAUCCAAUCGAAAAAUUCUAGGCACUUCAUAAUUGACCUUUUGAUACAAAAUGAUCUAUUAAAUUUGCAAUUCGUGGUUCUGGGUGUUGAGGUUUAUAGGACAAGCUUCAAACCUUGGGCUGAUUCCAUGAGGAGUUGUCUUUUGAAUCAGGUUUUCCUUGUUUAAGAGGGCACAGCAGCACCAGCACCCACCUUCUGGCCGCUUCUUUCUUGGCCUGGUGAGCCUGCACCGCGGCGCCAUCCACCCUGGAGCUGGCAACCACCGCAGGUGCAGCAGCUUGCAGUUGCCAAUCUCCAGCAACAUUCCCUGAAUCUUUCCAGCCAGCUUUGAAUACGAUGUUUGGGUAAGUGGGAACAAACUUUCUCCCAGCAUCUGCUUCUGGUUUCUGCAGCCAGCAUGGAGGUGUUGGGGGGGGGGGGGGGUCCUGCCCCCACGCGUGCACCAAGGUCUGCGGUGCCCGCAGACUCCGGAAGAUGAUGGAGGAGGCCACUGCAGGCACGUUUGCAUGGUGCAAAGACACUGACCAUUUGAUUCCAGCCAAACUUUGUUUCCUCAAAGCUGAUCUGGGAAUCAAGUUCCAGAUUCCAGCGUUCAGUACAUCUUCAGUAACAGGAAGUCUUCUGUCCCCCCUACUUGCUAGGUAUGCAUUUCUUGAGGUGGAAGAAAUUAGAGAUGUCAACAAUUGUUAACUCACGAUGGUUUUCUUUACAAUUUGCUCACAGAUGUGUCAGCACCAUCCCUACCGGCCAGUCCUUGCACCUUUGAGACCAAGAGAGAUUCAUGGAUGAUUUAGAAAUAAUAAUAAAUGCUGAUGUGCAGAAAAGUCUUCUCACUGUUAUAAAGCAUUUGUGUUCCUCAUCUUAUAGUGAAAUGUAUAAAUGGCAAGAGUUUUAUGGGUGACAGAUCAGCGUUCAAAUUUUAGCCUUACUAUGUAACCAUGGGUAAAUUACUUAAUUUCCCUGGGCUUCCAUCCCCUCAUCUAUAAAGUCAGAAUAAAAAUGCCAUCCUCAAAGGCUGCUGGAGGGGUUGUGGGAGAGGAGAUGGGCUAAAUGGGUAAGGGGCAUUAAGGAAUCUACUCCUGAAAUCAUUGUUUCACUAUAGCUAACUAAUUUGGAUGUAAAUUUUAAAAAAUAAAAAAUAAAAUUAAAAAUAA